UUGAACGCUGGCGGCAUGCCUUACACAUGCAAGUCGAACGGUAGAGGGGCAACCCUUGAGAGUGGCGAACGGGUGAGUAAUAUAUCGGAACGUGCCCAGUCGUGGGGGAUAACGCAGCGAAAGCUGCGCUAAUACCGCAUACGAUCUAUGGAUGAAAGCGGGGGAUCGCAAGACCUCGCGCGAUUGGAGCGGCCGAUAUCAGAUUAGGUAGUUGGUGGGGUAAAAGGACCCACC
rnacentral:rRNA from 1 species